CUUAAGUAACCAAUCUAGAUAUUAUUAUAAUGGAAAACAAGAAGGGAAUGAGAGUGUUCACCACCAAUACUAAUGCUAUUAUAUUUCUCCUAAUAAUUUCUGUUGCAUUUCUACCAGAGAUCAGUGCUGCUGCUUUACGGCGUGGGCAUGCUCACCCAUCACGCUCUCGGGUACCAGAAAGACCAGCAUCACCAUCGCCAUCUCCAUCUCCAUCACCAUUGGCAUCGCCUCCUCUAAACAGGAAAGUGGCAGCAUCACCACAUGGAGGAGGCAUCUAUCAUCCGCUUCCUGAUCCCUACUAGAAAAUUUGUCUAUCCUACAAGGACUUAAUAUAACACUCAAAAUAAAAGAAGCCACAACAAAGAAAGAGAGAGGAAUAUGUAUGAAGUCAUUUUAAGAUAGAAUGUGUUUAUCUUCAAUCUCCUGGCAUGUGCAGGAGCUUCAGAGCUGUCUAGUGUCGUAGGUAUUGUGUUUUGAAUUUGCGUCUAUUGUCUUUGUUUUCUUGUGUUGGUGGAUUGAAAGCCUUUUUUGUGUUUUUGUAUUUGGGAUAAAGGAGUCGUUUUUAUUGCUUG